rnacentral:rRNA from 1 species
GAUGAACGCUGGCGGCGUGCCUAAUACAUGCAAGUCGAGCGAGCAGACGAGGAGCUUGCUCCUCUGACGUUAGCGGCGGACGGGUGAGUAACACGUGGAUCACCUACCUAUAAGACUGGGAUAACCUCGGGAAUCCGGAGAUAAUACCGGAUAAUAUACUGCACCGCAUGGUUCAAUAGUGAAAGACGGUGUUGCUGUCACUUAUAGAUGGAUCCCCGCCGCAUUAGCUAGUUGGUAAGGUAACGGCUUACCAAGGCAACGAUGCGUAGCCGACCGGAGAGGGUGGUCGGCCACCCUAGAGCUGGGACACGGUCCUGGCUCCUACGAGAGGGAGCAGUAGGGAACCUUCCGCAAUGGGCGAAAGCCUGACGGAGCAACGCCGCGUGAGAGAUGAAAGUCUUCGGAUCGUAAAACUCUGUUAUUAGGGAAGAACAAAUGUGUAAGUAACUAUGCACGUCUUGACGGUACCUAAUCAGGAAGCCACGGCUAACUACGUG